rnacentral:rRNA from 1 species
UUUAGAUCGCAUGGUUUGAAGAGAAAAGGUGGCCUCUUUACAAUGCUACCACUUACAGAUGAAUCCGCGGCUGAUUAGCUAGUUGGUGGGGUAAAGGCCUACCAAGGCGACGAUCAGUAGCCGGCCUGAGAGGGUGAACGGCCACACUGGGACUGAGACACGGCCCAGACUCCUACGGGAGGCAGCAGUGGGGAAUCUUCCGCAAUGGACGAAUGAGCGAAGAAGGUCUUCGGAUUGUAAAGCUCUGUGAUAUUGGACGAACAAUUUCCCGUAAAUAAUGGGAAGGAAUGACGGUACCCAAGGAGGAAGCCCCGGCUAACUACGUGCCAGCAGCCGCGGUAAUACGUAGGGGGCGAGCGUUGUCCGGAAUUACUGGGCGUAAAGGGCGCGUAGGCGGAUAGUUAAGUCAGGUGUGAAAACUCCGGGCUUAACCUGGGGGGUGCAUCUAAUACUGGGAGGCUAGAGUGCAGGAGAGGAAAGUGGAAUUCCUAGUGUAGCGGUGAAAUGCGUAGAUAUUAGGAGGAACACCAGUGGCGAAGGCGACUUUCUGGACUGUAACUGACGCUGAGGCGCGAAAGCGUGGGGAGCAAACAGGAUUAGAUACCCUGGUAGUCCACGCCGUAAACGAUGAGUGCUAGGUGUCGGGGGUAUCGACCCCCUCGGUGCCACAGCUAACGCAAUAAGCACUCCGCCUGGGGAGUACGGUCGCAAGACUGAAACUCAAAGGAAUUGACGGGGGCCCGCACAAGCGGUGGAGUAUGUGGUUUAAUUCGACGCAACGCGAAGAACCUUACCAAGGCUUGACAUCCUGUGACAGCUAUAGAAAUAUAGACUUCUUAGUUUACUAAGACACAGAGACAGGUGGUGCAUGGUUGUCGUCAGCUCGUGUCGUGAGAUGUUGGGUUAAGUCCCGCAACGAGCGCAACCCUUGUCCUUAGUUGCUACGCAAGAGCACUCUAAUGAGACUGCCGGUGACAAACCGGAGGAAGGUGGGGAUGACGUCAAGUCCUCAUGGCCCUUAUAGGUGGGGCUACACACGUCAUACAAUGGCUGGUACAAAGGGUUGCCAACCCGCGAGGGGGAGCCAAUCCCAUAAAGCCAGUAGUAGUCCGGAUCGCAGUCUGCAACUCGACUGCGUGAAGUCGGAAUCGCUAGUAAUCGCGGAUCAGAAUGUCGCGGUGAAUACGUU